rnacentral:rRNA from 1 species
UAGCGUAGGGACCAAGCGUUGUCCGGAAUCAUUGGGCGUAAAGAGCGUGUAGGCGGGCUUGUUAAGUCUUGACGUGAAAUCCCGGGCUACAACCCCGGAACUGGCCUUUGAUACUGGGUGUCUUGAGUUCGGAAGAGGUGAGUGGAAUGCGAGUGUAGAGGUGAAAUUCGUAGAUAAUUCGCAGGAACACCAGUGGCGAAGGCG